GACAGAGGAUGCAAGCGUUAUCCGGAAUGAUUGGGCGUAAAGCGUCUGUAGGUGGCUUUAGUACGCGUGUGAAGACUCCAGGCUCAACCUGGAAAGUGCGCGCGAAACUGGCGAGCUUGAGUGCCGGAGAGGGUCGCGGAAUUCCCAGUGUAGAGGUGAAAUUCGUAGAUAUUGGGAGGAACACCAGAGGCGAAGGCGGCGACCUGGAAGGUAACUGACACUGAGCAGCGAAAGCGUGGGGAGCAAACAGG
rnacentral:rRNA from 1 species